GCCCCGCCCGAGGGAACGCCCCAGAAAAACAUGGCUGACUGAGUGUGGCGGUGUGGGGGGAGUCCGUACCGUACCGGGCCUUGGCCCACUGACACAGUCUGGAUCCCCUGUCAGACCCCCUCUCCCCAUCCUCGGCGUCUGUCCCCUGCCUUUUGGUGUCCACGAGAUGCUGGUCCACGUAGGAAAGGAGGAUCAGGCCCAGUUCUGGAAGCUGGAUGUCGCCUACAACAUUAGUAACCCUGAAGUGAGGAAGCAACGUGUAAACAGUACUCUUCCAAAUCACCAUCUGUGGAAAGGAGCGCCAUACAAUCCAUGCAAGAAAAUUGUGAGAACAUUCUUCUCCCAAUGUGUUGCUUAUAUAUUUCCAAUCUUAUGAUAAAAGUGGACACUGCACUUUUUGCCUGGAUUAAAUUGAAAUUCUCACCCUGCAGUUUCUUAUUUGGAAUGUUCAUUUUGUCACAUGGAUCAGCUAGGUAUGCUAUAUCUCCACAUAAAAGUUCAAUUUUCUUUCCCAAGAUCUUGCCAACUUUGAGCAAAAAUUCAACAACAAUGUCAAAAAGAUUAAAGAAAUGUUUUAACUAGCAAGCUUUUGACAGCCAAUGCACAUCAAUGUGAAGAAGCAAGUGUUCAAACCCUUCAUUGUUAUCUUGGCGUAAAUGGUGAAAUAUUUUGCUGUUUAACGGAUGAGCUUUAGUUAUUACAGGAGUCAUCCUCAAAAAAAGUCGCUGGCUGAGGUGUUUGGCUGUGAAAUGUUAUCGACGAAUUACACAAUCGAUUGCUAACAGAUUUGGAAUUACUUUUCUCAUAAAUGCCACUCAACCAGCAUAGUGACCUGUCAUAUAUGGUGCUCCAUCUGUUACGUAAGAAAUCAUGUUCCUAAUUGAAAACUUUUAUCCUCAAUAUACAUUUUGAUCUCGUCGUAGAUUGAUUCUCCGUUGAUACUGUUUUUAACAUUUUACAAAAGAGAAUCUCUUCAUAAGUUUCUCCAUGUUUGAUAAAUCAUAGAUAUGCUAUUAGCAAUGCCUUGUUGUCUCACACAGUUGACUCAUCUAGUUUUAUCCCAAAUUCUGUUUUCUGUUUUAUGCAUGGUUGAUUAUCCAUGUCUUCACUCAUUUCAUUAAUACAAUGAGCUUCAGUUAUUACUCAGAGGAAUUGAUUUUAAAAUACUGGAAUCCAUUUUGAGAACAGUGCUGAGCACUUCUGAUACAGCAGGCAUUGUUAAUCUUUCACUAAUUGUAUGAGAUAUUCCACACUUCCCUAUUAUUUUGGAAAUAUUAUAAGAAGCAAUAAGACCACUAUCAAAGUCACUUUUAUUUUUCUUGGUAAAUGACUCCAGUGUGCAACUCUUUUCCAAUGUUUCUUUCAUCUUCUGGAACUGAGUACUAUAAUACCAUAAGUAGCUUCUUCAGGAUGUCUUUUAAGGAAGUGUUUCUGCAACCUGGAUGGCUUCAUGGUUCAUUAGAGAGACAAUAUUACAAAUAAGACACAUGGGGUGUGGCUAAUCUGAUGGGAAUGGAAUAAAACCAAACUCCAGGUCUGUAACAUUGCAUUAAUGUUUCCUAGCAGGAUUAGAGUACAAGGUUUCACCACCUUCGGACUCAUAGAGAUCACGCCAUGUGUGAUUAUCCAUUAUUAACCGGACUACAUUAAAAUAAAAAAUUAACACAAAAUGGGAAUGCCUAUCGGAUGUUGACAACAGCAGUGAGUUAACAUGGUUGGUCAGUUCAAAAGCCUCGUUAGGGUGUCACUUACUAACUCUCCAUUGACUUCUAUUUCCCCUAACACCAUCUUGGGACACAUAACCGUCCCCUUUGAGGGGGGACCGGUACUGCCCCCAUUGGGAAUCACUGCCUUAAGUCCUGAUCUAGGACUGCAUAACUCUUUGCACUUCCAGUUUCUUAAUUCUCUGCCCAGUUAGAAAAUGCUCUACACUUUUAUUCUUCCCACUAACCACAAACAUCAUCGAGUAACACACGACAUAAUCGUGUUCUAUCUGGCACAUACACCCAUGACCAACACACUCAUUGACACACACCCACUAUCAGAUUGUAGCAACCUACUGUCCAUUGUCUGGUCACACUCAUUCAAGAGCUCACACCAACCUGUGUGCACCAGAGGUAUCCACUAACCCACACCCAUCAACAAUAUGCACCAACUGACAUCAGAUGUCUGCCCUAACCGACCGUCGACCAACAACACACCUUUCAGCUCUACAUGCUGAAGCAUUUUCUUCUGGAAUGGAACAGGUUUCCAGUGAUCAUCUGCAUUUAGUGUUUUGCACAGAAUCUGUCACUAGCCAGAAGAUAUGUAACCACUGAUUUUGGAAUGGAUUACUUUAAAUGCUUGGUUUCAAUGUGUGGUUCUGGUAAUUUCAAACUAUUUAGGGAUGUAGUUCCAUUUGAUUUAAAGUAUAGACCUGACAUGAUCACCCCCAUGAGAUCAUAGUAUUGUUACAAACACCUAGUUUACCAGCUACAGUUGUUAUUCUGUAGAUUAACCAAACUGAUUUUUGUAGUUUUGGUUUUACACUUACCAGAUGUGCCAAUGGGGGAGCCACAAAGUAGAUAGUAUUGAUUCCAUCUGGAGGUGGGAGAAGUGAAGCUUUUACCUUGGACAUAUUGAUCUGGCAGGAGGCAGUGGAAGGCUUGCUACAAGGACAUUUCAUGUCCUUGAUGUGAGGGUGUUCACACCAGUGCAUUUAUCAGGAAAUUUCUCUGCACUUUGUUUGUAUAAUAACAUGGCCCUCUGCCAGCCCCAAUUACAUCCCUCUCUAGUUUGUGUCCCAGCCAAGCUCUGCACUGCUUUGAGCAAUCAGGCCCUCCUUCCCAAAAUACACAGCCAUUUUCGCUCUCACGACUGGCGUCCAGGAGCUGGAAAACACACACUACAUAUAACAUUACAUAGAAGGGUGUUUAUAACAUUACAUAGAUGUUACAUAUAACAUAACAUCUGUUCUCCUUCAACUCAUCAGGGCACCAGGCAGUGAUGGCUGCCCAGGUCAGAUCUUUCGGUUGUAUCUGGGUCUGAAUACAAGAUGCCUGGGGUAUUUCAGGAUUUUUCUGUUUUUAUCAGAGGCCUCUCUGGUCAAGGUUGCCACAGCUGAUAGUAUCUUUUUAUCGUUGUUGAGGUUCAAAUCAAUGAAUUCAAUAUAGAUUCAAACCAAAACUCUUCAAAUGAGGUACUUAAACAGAUGAGGCAGCAACUUUGGCAAGAAUGAGUUGCCUGUAGAAGACAUUUUAUAGAACUGGGUGAGGUUUGGUGUGUGAUAAAGGCAGAAGUAAAAGGUAAUCACAGAGAGUCAGAACAGAAACUGUUUAGUUAUCUAAGAUGCUGAGCUCAGUACUGAGCCUGUACUGUAUCAGUACUGUGCCCAGAUGGAAGAUGAAAUGCUGUUCCUUGAGCUUGGGUUAGACUUUGUUGAAAAGGUGUUGGAGAUAGCAACAGAGGUUGGAGUAGGAGUGAGAGGGAGAAUUGACAGGUCAGAUCAUGCAAACACUUCAGCAAAGUGGUUAUAAUCUGUGUUUGCUCUCUCCAUCCAAGAGGAGAUCUCAUCCCUUAGCUGACCGCCCAACCCCUAUCAGUAGACCAUCCUUUGCUUUUUGCAGAGUGAUGGCACCAUCAAAUAUUUCUCCCUUUUCCUCAGCCCCUUCAUUGGCAUUCUCAUGGACUGAUUGACUUCUCAAACCAACCACUUCUAUUCCAUUCCAUACAACACCUUCCAACAAAACACAGAGGAAACCUCCCCACCGUACAAAUAAAACAGUAAUGUAUUUGUGCUUUUACACUUUUGUUCACAGUUUAUGAUGCAGAUUCCUCCACGAUGGGACAGUCCUCUCUUCUCACUGCUGCCAUCAAGAAGAAGGUACAAGAACCUCAAGACUCACACCACUAGGUUCAGGAACAUUUAUUAGCCUUAAACCAUCAGGGUUCUGAACCAAAGGGGAUAACUUCACUCAACUUCACACCCCAUCAUUGAAAUGUUCCCAUAACCACUGGACUCUCUUUCACGGCUCUUUAUCUCAGGUUCUUGAUAUUUAUUGCUUACUUAUAUUAUUGUUUCUUCUUUAAGCAUUUGCAGUUUGUUGUCUUCUGCACUCUGGUUGAACGCCCUAGUUGGACAGCCUUUCAUUGAUUCUAUUAUAGCUACAGAUUUGUUGAAUAUGCUCAUGAGAAAAUGAAUCCCAGGUUGUAUUUGGGGAUAUACAAUAUACGUACUUUGAUAGUAACAUUUACUUUGAACUUUGGAACAUCUCUGUUCAGAAUGCAAGUGUGACCUCAGGCUACCAGAUACUGGUAGCUUUAAUUCUCCAUCCUGGUAUCUUCGUUCUCUUAGAUUCUUAGUGGAGGUUAAUGUAAGUUGAAAGAAAAGUAUAUCAGCAUCUUAUUGGUCACCUCAGCCUUCCAGACUCAUCAAUAUGUCCAACAAUUUUAAAGUAUUGAUUCUUCAAGUCAUAGAAUACUACAGCACAGUAACAGGCCCCUCAGCCCAUCUAGUCCAUGCCAAGCUGUUAUACUGUCUAGUCCAAUUGACCCGCAUCUGGAACAUGACCCUCCAUACCCCUCCCAUCCAUGUAGUUACUUCUGCUGACUUCUCAUUCCACAUUCUCACCACCCUCUGAGUGAAGAACAUUCCCUCAGCAUCCCCUUAAAUAUUUCACCUUUCACCAUUAACCUAAAACCUCUAGUUCUAGCCUCACCCAACCAGAUGGAAAAAGUCUGCUUGCAUUAACUCUCUGUAUAAUUUUGUAUACUUCUAUCAAAUCUCCCCUCAUUUUCCCAUGCUCCAGGGAAUAAAUUCAACUUUUCCCUAUAAAGCAGCUCCCCAAGUUCCAGCAACAUUCUUGUAAAUUUCCUCUACUCUUUCAAUCUCUAUUGAUAUCUUUCCUGUGAGUAGGUGACCAAAACUGCACACAAUACUCCAAAUUAGGCCUCAGCAAUGUCUAACACAGCUUCAACAUAACAUCCCAACUUCUGUUCCCUAUAUUUUUAUUUAUGAAGGUCAAUGAGCCAAAAGCUUUCUUUACAACUCUGUUUGUGACACCACUUUCAAGUAAUUAUGGACCUGUUUUCUCAGACCCCUCUGUUCUACCGUUCCUCAAUGCCCUACCAUUCCCCGUGUAAGGUCAACCCAGUUGGUCCUAUUGAAGUGCAAAACCUCACACUUGUCUGCAUUCAAUUCCAUCUGCCAUUUUUCAGCUGGUGCAGAUUCCUCUGAAAGUUUGAUAGCCUUCCUUGCUGUCCAUUACACCAUCUGUAAAUUUGCUGAUUCAGUUUAUCACAUCCUCAUCCAGAUCAUUGAUAUAGAUGACAAUCAUCAACAAACAUAGCCCCAAUCCCUGUAUAACACUACUAGCAACAAGCCUCCAGUCAGAGAGGAACCGUCCACAACCACUCCCUGGCUUUUCCCACUAAGCCAAUGUUGAAUCAUUCUAAAUGCCAAAUGACUUAACCUUCUGGCCCAGCCUCUCAUGCAGGACCUUGUCAAAGGCCUUGCUAAAGUCCAUGUGGAUAGGGUUUCCACCCCCUCCCAUUUCCUUCAACAACCUUCUUGAAAAGUUUGGUUUGACAUGACCUAACAUGUACAAUGCCACAUUGACUAUUCCUGUCUGUCCAAAUCUGUCCCUUAGAACAGGUUCCAACAAUUUACCCUUGACUGAUGUCAAUCUCUCUAGCCUAUAAUUUCCCAGUUUAUUGAAGUUUUUCUUCAGCAACGAAACAUUAACCAACACUUCACCCAUGGCUAAGCAUGUUUUAAACAUUUCAGCAAGCGUCACAACAGUUUCCGCAUUAGCCUACCACAAGAUCUGAUGGGAAUCUUUCUGAAGCCCUGGGGAUUUAUUCACCUCAAGACAGCAGGUACCUCAUCCUCUAUAAUCCAUCUGCUUCAUGAGCUCAAUACUCCUUUCUCUCAGUUCUAUGUUCUGUCCAUCAGAAAAAGUGGGAUCUCCCAGUGACCACCCAUUUUAAUUCCACUUCCCAUUCCCAUUACGAUAUGUCAGUCCAUGGCCUCCUCUAUAAUCCAUCUGUUUCAUGAGCUCAAUACUCCUUUGUCUCAGUUCUAUGUUCUGUUCUGUCCAUCAGAAAAAGUGGUAUCUCCCAUUUUAAUUCCACUUCCCAUUACGAUAUGUCAGUCCAUGGCCUCCUCUACCGUCACAAUGAGGCCACACUCAUGUUAGAGGAGCAACACCUUAUAUUCCAUCUGGGUAGCCUCCAAUCUGAUGGCAUGAACAUUGAUUUCUCAGUCUGGUAAUAACCAUUCCCCUCUUUCACCUUAUCUCCUUGACUGCCCACCACCUCCCUUUGGUGCUCCUCCCCCUUUUCCUUCUUCCCUGGCCUUGUCCUCUCCUUUCACAUUCCCCCUUCUCCAGCACUAUAUCUCGUUCCCCAAUUUCCCAGCUGUUGACUUCAACCCAACCACCCCAGUUUCACCUAUCACCUUGUUAUUCCCCUCCCCCACCUUCUUACUCUGACUCCUCUAUUUUUCUCCAGUCCUGAUGAAGGGUCUCAGCUCAAAACAUCAACUGUACUCUUUUCCAUUGAUGCUGCCUGGCCUGCUGAGUUCCUCCAACAUUUUGUGUGUUGCUUGGAUUUCCAGAUUUUCUUUUGUCUAUCUGUGUGUUUCCCAAGUAAAUACAGAUGUAAAAUCUGUUCUCGUGCCAUCAAAAUUGGGCUUACUCCAAUUUGGAAUAUCAACCUGAGGACAAGUCCUACCCUUCUCUAUAAUUUUCUUGAAAGUAAUAAAAUGAUGAUCACUAGAUACCAAA